AAAAAGGCAAACCCUGGGUUUCCGUGUCCAACGUUUGACUGUCCAUCUUAUAUGAAAUUUUUUUAUAAUUAGUAUUUUUAUUAUUGUUAGAUAAUAAAACAUGAUUAAUACUUAAUGCGUGACUUGUCUUUUUAAUUUUUUCAAAUAAGACGGACGGUCAAACGUUGGACACGUAAACCCAUGGUUUGUCUUUUU
rnacentral:pre_miRNA from 1 species